AUAUGCCAUCUCUCUGUCUAUGAUUUUCUCUCUCCAUGGUGUCUCAUACUUCAGGCCGGAUAACCUGAACUUCUUUGCAGCAUGGCAGUUGGGUUAGGUUGGAACUGGAAUAGUGUCAGUUCUGCAUCAUUGUGUUGGUCUGCCGAGAAUCAAGAGUUUUUUUGGUGAAAGUAAUGGCAAGAGUGUAUAAGGGUGGAAGGAAAUUUUGGCAACCACUUUUUCGAGACUAAUUACUACAGGUAAUUUCAAUAAGAAAGAGAUUCUUGAGUGGAUUUUGAAGACUGAGAAGUUUAUUAGUGAAUAGAGGAGAUGAAGUUUAGGAGAAGAGGAGCUCUUUGAAAGAACAGCAGUAACAUGAAGACAGAAAGCAUCAUAUUUGGCCUGCCUGCCAGGACAAACAGAAUGCCUGGAGGCAUUAGGGAGAAGGAAUUAGAAAUGAGCGUGAGAGGCAGGCAAGAUUAUUAAAAGUCUUGUAUGUUUUAAGAAGUAAACUGUACUUUAUCAUCUAGGCUGCAGAAUACCCUGAGAGAUUUUAUUCAGGGGAGUAACUGCUCUUCACUCUCAUUGAUUCUUCUGUAAUUUGUCAGUUCCAUAUGUUCUUGAUCAAUACGCCUUCUUUGGCUUCAUUUCCUUAUUCACUCCAGCUGACAACCCACAGUCAUUCAGUUAAACCUCUCUCUCACUGACACUCUUAAUUCCCAACACUCUCAUGACCUUCUUCUCAUUGCAUUAUUCCUAAUCCUCAGUUCUAGAAUAACCCAACCAUCUGUUUGUUCUGAUACUGAAACCAGGAACUGAAUAAUCCUGGAGCAAAUUACAUAACCAUGUUGAUUGUCUGCCUUAUACAUUUAUGAUUUCUGACCUCUGCUAGACUCUCAAUUUUUUCUAGGAAAUCUUUACAGAUGUUUACCUAUUUCCCAUGACAUUUUCUUUUUAAUUUUUUUUGCCACUUUUUCAACUUUGUACUUAAUGCUUCACUCUAUUUUUAGCAGAUCACUUUCCCUACUUCACAGAGGAAAUAGUUGUUACAGUCAUGAAAAAUUUUCCUUUAUAACUUCUUCCUAAAGUUCAUCUAUUCUUUUCAUUCUGGAUGAUCCUCUUUCUUUCUUUCCAAAUUCCUGUGAUAAGUUUAGGACUUAUUAUACUUCUCCCACAACUUUAAAUUGAUUUACAUUUCUUAUCCAUCCUUAUUUUCUUUCCUCCUUCACCAUAGUCAUUCUUCCUUGUUUUCACUUUCCCUUUGACCUCAAACCUUCUACCGCUUGCAAGUUCUUGCUCUAAUAAUGAUGCCCUUUUCCCCAAUCUCUUUCUACAACUUCCUCCUCAGCCUUGCUUCUACCACAAUCAAUAUUUUCUCAUUGUACUCCCUGCUUAUUGUUUGUUUUAUAUUUAUUCCUUAGUAACCUGAAACUUGGCUUGUUACAACUGAAUACCAGGCAAAGUUUUGACACAUAGUAUGGUGUAAUAAAUAUGUAUUAAUGAUCAAUUUCUAAUUUCCAAUAUUAUAACCUAUUUUAAGUUCUCAUGUUACAAUGGGAAGAUGGGGAAAAGGUCCCGUCUGUCUUUGGAUCAGUGGGAGCUUGCUAAACCAUGCUUGCAAGUGGACAUAAUGGCUGAGAUUCUGUACUCUGCAGUUUUUUUCCCAAAUCAGUCUAUUCCGUUUGCAUUUUGGUUUGUUGGAAUGUGUGCUAUAGAAGUUGGUAAAUAUACUGAAUAUUACCAUUAUCUCUCUCUCUCUUUCCAUGCAUAUAUGUAUGUGUGUGUACACUCUGGAAAUUGUAUCACUAUAUAAAAAUAUUAUUUCUGCUUGAAGUGUGGUGCCCAUUUAACACAUGAUAAUCACAGAUUUUUAUAGCAAAACACCUUUUCAUAUGCUAGACAGAUUUGUAAAGGCAGAAAUUAUGGUUUCCUGGCAUAUAGAUAGUAACAAAUAAGUUUUUGUGGAAAGAAUGGUUGAAUGUUCUUUAUGUGUAACAAAGGAAAAAAUUUCUAAAUGAGCAUAGAAUGUAUUUAUGAAAUUUUAAAUAAAAUGUAAUAUCUAUUGUUAGGGCUUAGAAUGUUCAGACAUUGUAACUGACUAUUGUACUACUGUUAUUGAAAGAAAAAAACACUAAUCAAUAUAGCAAUUCACAGGGAUUUUUUCUCUUGUAAAUUUCAUUUGUUAAGAGCAUUGUUUUAGAUGCAAUCUUUUCAUAGAAACAUGUAUAAACUCGUGAGGAGAUUGAACAUAAAGCACUGCUAUAAAACUAGGUACUUAUUGGCCUUCAAUGUAUCCAGCUUUUAUCUUACAGACUGUGAGCUCAUUUAAUAGCAUCAAGUGAAGGAAACUGGUAUAGCAUCCCCUCUGCUGCAUACCUUUGGGACUUUCCUGUAUAAUGUUGAUGUUCAGUCUCAGCCAAACUGACAAUUAAAUGAUCCAUUUAUCCAACACAAGCAGGCAGAGGAGGAGAUACUGCAUCUUUUCACACUGCCUCCCACUCCCAGAGCCAGUCCAAUGCUUCCUUUGGGUUGAGCACACACAAACAGAAAGCCCUUCAUCAACAAUUUUUCAUGUUUUCUGUUAAAUUGGGUUUACUCUUCUUACUUGAAUUUUCCCCUAGAUACUUUUCCCAAAUAGCACAGAAAGUAUUUGAUGUGAACUAAAACUUUUUAAUAAUAAACUUUGUGGUUAUAAAACCUGAGGAAGACAAGACUACUGAGGCAGUUAGAAGAAAUUGCUGAAACCAAGAAAAAAAAAGAUAUAUGUUAGCCUAAAUCUUAAAAUGAAACUUUUCAAAGAAGCAAUAUUGUCUAAUUGGGACCUUUUAUAUAUUCUUUGGGAGUCUACUUCAUAGAGUAAUUAUUUUAGCCACCAACACAUUUUUUACCAUUGUGUACAGUUUUUAUUAUUCUUAACUCCCCUACUUUCUGACACUUCCGUUUUCAAAAAUAACACAUAAAGCAAUUGUCUUUUGCAUUAGAUAUCUCACUUUUAAUUUAAAUAGCCCAUGUAAACCCUAUUAAAGUUGCUUACUUAGGUACUUUUAAUUGAUACUGAGAAUAAUGCUUUCUUUUUGGGUUUUGUUGUCAAGGUGAAAUUCUAGUAUUAUCAGGCAAAUUUGAGAGCAAUCGUAAUUGAAUUAAAAAUUCUAAUUCUAUUUUAUUAUUAUAUAUUAUAGAUUAAUUAUUUGAGGAAAACCAAAGUGCAGAUUGUCCUAAGAUAUUCUAUCAACUUUUUAAGAUACCUAACUCUAUCAUUCUUCUGUUUUAAAACCUUUAUUUCUUAGAAUUGUAUUAUUAAAAUGAACAUAUGUUGUUGACAGGCUGUUAACAUAUAUAUCAAAGACAAUAAGUCAAAUUUUAACUAAAAAAAAAAAAUGGGACCAGAGUAGAAAGGUUUUGAGAGAAAACAGUGGCAGAAAGACUCAGAAAAGCAUGCAAUAUUCAAUGAAAAACUCUUCUUUGCUCUAGGUGGUAUGAGGACUCGGCCUUUUGUCAGUUAACAGUCUUUCAGUACAAUAUUCAGAAAAUCCAGCUGAAAAUAUCUAAAACCAAAAGAGAAUUUAUUGGCUCUCAUAAAUGAUACUCAUAGCCUGAUGCCAGUUAUCAAGUUAUUGCCUCUUCGCUCCAAAUUCACCCUUCAAUAUAUAUUCUAUGAUAACAGACAAUUCCUUUUAGUAUUUCUCCUUUAAAGUGAGGCCUAUGUUAAUCUUUCUCAGCAGAGGAUGCUGGAGGGACAUUUCAGGAAAAAGGUAUCGGGCUGCCUGCCAUCCCUUAAGCCAGUAGUGUCAGUAUAAGGACAUCUGGUGGAGCUUUGCCUCAGUCAUGUGCCAAGAACAUAGGCCUUUGACAACCUUGCAGAGUAGAUCCUGCAAUAACCUUCUUGCUUUGCUCUUGACAUGGAAUUUGCAUACACAUAUCCUAUUGGCUCCGUUUCUUUAGAUAACUCUAAUACAGCGAUCACAGGUGUCACUAUUGACCUCUGAAAAUAAAGGAGGAAGAGGAUAAAGAGAGUGUGGAGGUGGGAGUGGACAAAUGCAUGAUCCUUGGAGGAAAGGUAGAGAAGAAACAACUUCUUAUUUCACAAUGUUGUCUUGGACAGGUAGUGUAUUUACUAAUUCUGGCCUUUCAGUCUGUUUCUCUCUCACUUUUGGGGUGUAGUAAGAUACAAGAUAUUAUAUAACUUUCCACCAUUCAUCUACUGAUUUGUUGGCCAGAACCAAGAGGACACUGGAGGACUUACCAACCCUUACUUUUGGACUGGGAUGAAACUUGAUCCAAGGGCCCCCCGGAGGUGUAUAGUGAUUAUAGAUGUUUUAUAAAAAAUUGGCUCAGUGGCUUAUUUGCUUGUUCAUUUAUUCACACACUCAUCCAGUUAGCCACUUAGCACCAUGUACUGCUAAUAUAUGAAGUAAGGAAAGGAAUUUCAAGAUAUGUAAUAUACAGUUCCCGGCCCUCCAAUAAUUUGUACACCUGUUAGGUAAUAAAACAAAUAAACUUAUUUUAAAUUCAGGGGUAAUUAAAAUCAAGUUGAUGAGAGAAGUUCAAAUGAUCAUUGCAACUCAGAGGAUGAAUAAUGAACACUUGCUGAAAUGAAGGAAGGCUACAUAAGAGAGAUUUUUCGAUAUUGGAACAAAGAGACCUACAGCAGAUUGUAUAUUUCAAAAGAGCAGCAGCAAGAUCUCCUUUCCUACAUGCUCUUUUUCUAGUGUGACAUUGACACUCCUCUCAUUGAGAAGGACACAUUUUCCCUACUUUUGGACAUUGAGAGGCUUAUGAAUAUGGAGGAAGAGAUGCUAUGUGACUUCUGAGGCGAUGUCAUAAAGCUCUGCCUGGUUCACUUGGGAGGCUCACUUCUAGAACCCAAUUGCCAUGCUGUGUGGAAGUCAGACCACAUGGAAAGGCCAUGAAUAGGUAUUCUGGCUGACAGUUUCAUUUGAGUUCCAAGACCACUGCCAGCAUCCACUGCUAGACAUGUGUGUGAGGAAGAUUUGGGGAUUACUCUGGCUUCAGCCACGGCAGUCAUGUGGAUACAACUGCAUGAGAGACCUAGAACAAGAACCCCAGAAAUAAGAGAGAUAAUAAUAAAAUGAUUUAAGCCACUA